rnacentral:lncRNA from 1 species
GUCUUGGGACAAACUUACCAUCACAAAUUGACCAUCAUGACAGCUGAUGCUACCCAUCCAGGAUGGAAGAAUGGGUCUGCACACUUCGUUACACUGUCCUCGAAAGAAAGGCUGAGCAUCUAAGAAUUAUAUCAGCAUUCCAGGACAGGAAGAAAGACAUAGAAGAAAGGAUAAAUGGCUGUAUCAGGACUUUGGAGCAUCCCCAGAAAUCCCAGUAAAGGUUCACUGAGAGCCGGUGCAGUCCUACCACCAUGGCCAUUCCUUAGCUCACGAGGAAGGAACAGCCCAGCGUCAUUUUCUCCAUCCAAAUCUGGCUGCAAUGCCUGAUCCUGCACAACUGCAGGCAUCUUUCCAGGAGUCCAAAGUCAGGGAACGCUCUGGAAUGCGUGGAUGUUGUGAGUUUGGGUCCAGAACACUGGGACAGGAAGGCCGGGCC